AGGGCGCACGGUGGAUGCCUUGGCACUAGGAGCCGACGAAGGACGUGACAAACGACGAUAUGCCUUGGGUAGCUGUAAGUAAGCGAUGAUCCAGGGAUUUCCGAAUGGGGGAACCCAACAGGUAGUACCUGUUACCCACAUCUGUUAAGGAUGUGAGGAGGAAGACGCAGUGAACUGAAACAUCUAAGUAGCUGCAGGAAGAGAAAGCAAAAGCGAUUGCCUUAGUAGCGGCGAGCGAAACGGCAGGAGGGCAAACUGAAGAGUUUACUCUUCGGGGUUGUAGGACUGCAAUGUGGACUCAAAGAUUAUAGAAGAAUGAUUUGGGAAGAUCAGCCAAAGAGAGUAAUAGCCUCGUAUUUAAAAUAGUCUUUGUACCUAGCAGUAUCCUGAGUACGGCGGGACACGUGAAAUCCCGUCGGAAUCUGGGAGGACCAUCUCCCAACCCUAAAUACUCCCUAGUGACCGAUAGUGAACCAGUACCGUGAGGGAAAGGUGAAAAGCACCCCGGGAGGGGAGUGAAAUAGAACCUGAAACCGUGUGCCUACAACAAGUUCGAGCCCGUUAAUGGGUGAGAGCGUGCCUUUUGUAGAAUGAACCGGCGAGUUACGUUAUGAUGCGAGGUUAAGUUGAAGAGACGGAGCCGUAGGGAAACCGAGUCUGAAUAGGGCGCCUUAGUAUCAUGACGUAGACCCGAAACCAUGUGACCUACCCAUGAGCAGGUUGAAGGUGCGGUAAGACGCACUGGAGGACCGAACCAGGGCACGUUGAAAAGUGCUUGGAUGACUUGUGGGUAGCGGAGAAAUUCCAAAACGAACUUGGAGAUAGCUGGUUCUCUCCGAAAUAGCUUUAGGGCUAGCGUCGACAUUAGAGAUUCUUGGAGGUAGAGCACUGUUUGGGUGAGGGGUCCAUCCCGGAUUACCAAUCUCAGAUAAACUCCGAAUGCCAAUGAAUUAUGGUCGGCAGUCAGACUGCGAGUGCUAAGAUCCGUAGUCGAAAGGGAAACAGCCCAGACCACCAGCUAAGGUCCCAAAAUAAUUGUUAAGUGGAAAAGGAUGUGGGGUUGCACAGACAACUAGGAUGUUAGCUUAGAAGCAGCUAUUCAUUCAAAGAGUGCGUAAUAGCUCACUAGUCGAGUGACCCUGCGCCGAAAAUGUACCGGGGCUAAAACAAUUUACCGAAGCUGUGGAUACCUUUAUAGGUAUGGUAGGAGAGCGUUCUAUGUGUGAUGAAGGUAUACCGUGAGGAGUGCUGGAACGCAUAGAAGUGAGAAUGCCGGUAUGAGUAGCGAAAGACAGGUGAGAAUCCUGUCCACCGUAAGACUAAGGUUUCCAGGGGAAGGCUCGUCCGCCCUGGGUUAGUCGGGACCUAAGGAGAGACCGAAAGGUGUAUCCGAUGGACAACAGGUUGAUAUUCCUGUACUAGAGUAUGUAGUGAUGGAGGGACGCAGUAGGCUAACUAAAGCAGACGAUUGGAAGAGUCUGUCUAAGCAGUGAGGUGUGAAUUGAGUCAAAUGCUUAAUUCUAUAACAUUGAGCUGUGAUGGGGAGCGAAGUUUAGUAGCGAAGUUAGUGACGUCACACUGCCAAGAAAAGCUUCUAGCGUUUAAACAUACUCUACCCGUACCGCAAACCGACACAGGUAGUCGAGGCGAGUAGCCUCAGGUGAGCGAGAGAACUCUCGUUAAGGAACUCGGCAAAAUGACCCCGUAACUUCGGGAGAAGGGGUGCUGACUUAAAGUCAGCCGCAGUGAAUAGGCCCAAGCAACUGUUUAUCAAAAACACAGCUCUCUGCUAAAUCGUAAGAUGAUGUAUAGGGGGUGACGCCUGCCCGGUGCUGGAAGGUUAAGAGGAGUGCUUAGCGUAAGCGAAGGUAUGAAUUGAAGCCCCAGUAAACGGCGGCCGUAACUAUAACGGUCCUAAGGUAGCGAAAUUCCUUGUCGGGUAAGUUCCGACCCGCACGAAAGGCGUAAUGAUUUGGGCACUGUCUCAACGAGAGACUCGGUGAAAUUUUAGUACCUGUGAAGAUGCAGGUUACCCGCGACAGGACGGAAAGACCCCAUGGAGCUUUACUGCAGUUUGAUAUUGAGUGUCUGUACCACAUGUACAGGAUAGGUAGGAGUCUAAGAGAUCGGGACGCCAGUUUCGAAGGAGACGCUGUUGGGAUACUACCCUUGUGUUAUGGCCACUCUAACCCAGAUAGGUGAUCCCUAUCGGAGACAGUGUCUGACGGGCAGUUUGACUGGGGCGGUCGCCUCCUAAAAGGUAACGGAGGCGCCCAAAGGUUCCCUCAGAAUGGUUGGAAAUCAUUCGCAGAGUGUAAAGGUAUAAGGGAGCUUGACUGCGAGAG
rnacentral:rRNA from 1 species